rnacentral:rRNA from 1 species
CCUAACACAUGCAAGUCGAACGGUAACAGGAAGCAGCUUGCUGUUUCGCUGACGAGUGGCGGACGGGUGAGUAAUGUCUGGGAAACUGCCUGAUGGAGGGGGAUAACUACUGGAAACGGUAGCUAAUACCGCAUAACGUCGCAAGACCAAAGAGGGGGACCCUCGGGCCUCUUGCCAUCGGAUGUGCCCAGAUGGGAUUAGCUUGUUGGUGGGGUAACGGCUCACCAAGGCGACGAUCCCUAGCUGGUCUGAGAGGAUGACCAGCCACACUGGAACUGAGACACGGUCCAGACUCCUACGGGAGGCAGCAGUGGGGAAUAUUGCACAAUGGGCGCAAGCCUGAUGCAGCCAUGCCGCGUGUAUGAAGAAGGCCUUCGGGUUGUAAAGUACUUUCAGCGGGGAGGAAGGGAGUAAAGUUAAUACCUUUGCUCAUUGACGUUACCCGCAGAAGAAGCACCGGCUAACUCCGUGCCAGCAGCCGCGGUAAUACGGAGGGUGCAAGCGUUAAUCGGAAUUACUGGGCGUAAAGCGCACGCAGGCGGUUUGUUAAGUCAGAUGUGAAAUCCCCAGGCUCAACCUGGGAACUGCAUCUGAUACUGGCAAGCUUGAGUCUCGUAGAGGGGGGU